AUUGAACGCUGGCGGCAGGCCUAACACAUGCAAGUAGAACGAGUGGCGGACGGGUGAGUAAUGUCGGGGAAACUGCCUGAUGGGGGGGGAUAACUAGUGGAAACGGUAGCUAAUACCGCAUACAAUCGGAUGUGCCCCGAUGGGAUUCGCGUGUUGGUGGGGUAACGGCUCACCAGGGCGACAAUCCCUAGAUGGUCUGAGAGGAGGACCAGCCCCACUGGAACUGAUACACGGUCCAGACUCCUACGGGAGGCAGCAUUGGGGAAUAUUGCACAAUGGGCGAAAGCCUGAUGCAGCCAUGCCGCGUGUAUGAAGAAGGCCUUCGGGUUGUAAAGUACUUUCAGCGGGGAGGCGUUACCCGCAGAAGAAGCACCGGCUAACUCCGUGCCAGCCGCCGCGGUAAUAC
rnacentral:rRNA from 1 species